GACGUAGGGCGCGAGCGUUGUCCGGAUUUAUUGGGCGUAAAGAGCUCGUAGGCGGCUUGUCGCGUCGUCCGUGAAAACUUGGGGCUCAACCCCAAGCUUGCGGUCGAUACGGGCAGGCUAGAGUUCGGUAGGGGAGACUGGAAUUCCUGGUGUAGCGGUGAAAUGCGCAGAUAUCAGGAGGAACACCGGUGGCGAAGGCGGGUCUCUGGGCUGACACUGACGCUCAUGCACGAAAGCGUGGGGAGCAAACAGG
rnacentral:rRNA from 1 species